rnacentral:rRNA from 1 species
CGUAGUAUACUAGUUAAAAAUUCAUAUACUCUGGCGGUUCUAACUUUUUAGAGAAACUCGCUUAAUAAUCGUCAAUACCCGAUAAUUUUAACUUAUUAAACAAAGUUUAUAUACCGCCGUUUCAGAAUUUAUAAUAAGAUAAAAUCAACCUCUCAAAUCAACGAGAAAAAAUCAGGUCAAGGUGUAGCCUAUAAAUAAGAAUAAGUAAGUUACAUUAAACACAAUUUAAGGACCCGCCAAUAAAAUUUACCAAGAAAAAGAAUUUAUAUGUACUAAAAGAUUAAAAUCCU